CUACAUUUCCCCCUCCCUAAACAAAACCCUUGCUUAGUCCCACAUUUAAUUACUAGGGACCUUAACCUGAAAAAAAAAAAAAAUUACCUUAAAGGGACACUAUAGUCACCAAAACAACUAAUGCUUAAAGUAGUCUUCUUGUGUCUGUAGCCUGUCCCUGCAGGCUAUUUAAUGUAAACGCUGCCUUUUCGAGAGGAAAAAGGCAAUGUUUACAUUGCUCCCAAGGACACCUCCUAUGGCCACUCCUCAGAUGGCCACUAGAGGUAUUUCUGGGUCAG